rnacentral:snoRNA from 1 species
GGUUAAUGAUGAUUGUGUAUUCAAUUCUAAACUCUCGUGUUGAUAUUAUAAAACAUAUCGAGCUUUUUAACACUGACAACCU